UCCAGACUCCUACGGGAGGCAGCAGUGGGGGAUAUUGCACAAUGGGGGGAACCCUGAUGCAGCGACGCCGCGUGGGUGAAGGAGCGUUUCGGCGCGUAUAGCCCUAUCGGCAGGGAAGAAGGAGGACGGUACCUGACUAAGAAGCCCCGGCUAACUACGUGCCAGCAGCCGCGGUAAUACGUAGGGGGCAAGCGUUAUCCGGAUUUACUGGGUGUAAAGGGGGCGCAGACGGCAGCGCAAGCCAGGAGUGAAAGCCCGGGGCCCAACCCCGGGACUGCUCUUGGAACUGCGCGGCUGGAGUGCAGGAGGGGCAGGCGGAAUUCCUGGUGUAGCGGUGAAAUGCGUAGAUAUCAGGAGGAACACCGGUGGCGAAGGCGGCCUGCUGGACUGCGACUGACGUUGAGGCCCGAAAGCGUGGGGAGCAAACAGGAUUAGAUACCCUAGUAC
rnacentral:rRNA from 1 species